GGUAGACGUGGAAUUAGGGGAAGGCACAGGAAGUGACGCAAGAAAAAACAUCUUUAAAAGGAGCUAUUACUUCCUGUGAGAAACAAUUCUUCAUUCUUUGAUCUGCUGACUGGACCUAAGACACUGUUCCUAACUGGACUGACAUGUGGUGCCCUCCUGGGGGAAAGGCUCUCCCACCUCACUGCUGCCUCUCAGAAUUCUUCCUUUCCUUCAAGACUCAGCUUAUGAAACACCUCGGACAGUCAGGGCUAUCCUCGCCUGCCACCUCCCGGGUGACUGUAUCCAUUCUGGGUAUUGCCUUAUGUGGAUGUCGUCACCACUUCUAGAAUGGGAGGCCUGUGAAGGACAGAAAGGAUGCUGGCUCCCUACUCUGUAGUCACAGAUAUUCAGAACCAACAGGAUUAUCUUCAGAGAGAGGCAACUAUGGAAUUCUGGAAAGAUCAAUAAAGGUCCCAGCAAAGAGAUAAGGAAAUACUCCUGCUUGCCAGCAGGACAGAUUAUAUUGUUAUAUGAGUUAUCAUCCAUGAACAUGAUGCUAGAUGACAAACUUUCAAGGUUUUAGAAUACAACGAAAUUGACUGAGUGUUUAUAAACUACGAGUGCAUGUACCAUUUAAUCUCUCAAGCCAGAGGUGCCUAGCACCCGCACCUCCGAAUCCUCAUUCUGCACAACACUGCUCAUUGCACUGGCAAGGGCUGAAGGGCUGGCAAGAUUUUUCAGGGGAUCAAGUACCAGGUAAACCAGCCAUAUGUGCAGUAACCUUCAUUCUCCCACAUUCCUGAUCUGGUACACUGCAACAAUAAUCCAUGAAAUAGUACCCUGAUCAUGCCAGGGGGUCCAGCAGGCAGUAAAUGAAGAUGAAGUACUGGUAAAGAAGAAAUGGGGCUCACAUAUUAAAAAGAAAAUAAGUGAUGGAUAGUGGUUUAGUCAUUUUCAGUCCUGUCUGACUCUUCAUGAUCCCAUUUGGGGUUUUCUUGGCAAAGAUACUGGAAGGGUUUGCCAUUUCCAUCUCUGGUCCAUUUUACAGAUGAGGUCACUGAAGCAAACAGGGGUAAGUGGCUUGCUCAGGGUCAUAUGGCUAGUAAAUGUCUGAGGCUGGCUUUGAAUUCAGGAAGGUAAUUCUUCCUGAUUCCAAGCCCAGUGUUAUGUCCUCUAUACCAUCCAACAGGAUAGAAACCCUCCAAAUUAAUCAAUCAUUUCUUUAGUAAGGCAGGUGCCAUGUCCUACUCAUAGUUUCAGAGUAUCAAACUCAAAUAAAAACGAGGCCACAAACUGUACAUAAGGGUCCCCUGUAGGCCACCACUGCCUUAGAAAACCACACCAAAGAGUCAUUUAUGUUCUACUGCAUUAAAAAGAAGAAACCCUUUACCUUCUGUCUUGAAUCAAUACCAAGCAUCAGUUCCAAAGCAGGAAAGCGUAAGGGCCAGGCAAUGAGAGUUAAAUGUCUUGCCUGGGAUCACACAGUUAGGAAGUGACAGAGGCUAGAUUUAAAUCCAGGACCUUCCAACUCCAGGUUCUGGU